rnacentral:rRNA from 1 species
GUAAGGAAUAUUGGUCAAUGGAGGCAACUCUGAACCAGCCAUGCCGCGUGGAGGAUGAAGGUCCUCUGGAUUGUAAACUUCUUUUAUAUGGGACGAAAAAAGGCUUUUCUAAGUCGUCUGACGGUACCAUAUGAAUAAGCACCGGCUAACUCCGUGCCAGCAGCCGCGGUAAUACGGAGGGUGCAAGCGUUAUCCGGAUUCACUGGGUUUAAAGGGUGCGUAGGUGGGUUGGUAAGUCAGUGGUGAAAUCCCCGAGCUUAACUUGGGAACUGCCAUUGAUACUAUCAGUCUUGAAUACCGUGGAGGUCGGCGGAAUAUGUCAUGUAGCGGUGAAAUGCUUAGAUAUGACAUAGAACACCAAUUGCGAAGGCAGCUGGCUACGCGGAUAUUGACACUGAGGCACGAAAGCGUGGGGAUCAAACAGGAUUAGAAACCCCAGUAGUCC